rnacentral:rRNA from 1 species
AUACGGAAGGUCCGGGCGUUAUCCGGAUUUAUUGGGUUUAAAGGGAGCGCAGGCGGAGAUGCAAGCGUGACGUCAAAUUUCGGGGCUCAACCCCGUCUCGCGUCGCGAACUGCGUCCCUUGGUUGCGGGAAGGGGAGGCGGAACUCGUGGUGUAGCGGUGAAAUGCAUAGAUAUCACGAAGAACUCCGAUCGCGAAGGCAGCCUUCCGGCCCGUCAACGACGCUCAUGCUCGAAGGUGCGGGUAUCAAACAGGAUUAGAUACCCUGGUAGUCCACACAGUAAACGAUGGACACCCGCGGUUUGGCCUGUAUGGCUGAGCCGCCAAGCGAAAGCGUUAAGUGUCCCACCUGGGGAGUACGCCGGCAACGGUGAAACUCAAAGGAAUUGACGGGG